UACGACUACAUAUCAGGCAUAUCAAUAAGCGGAGGAAAAGAAACUAACUAGGAUUCCCUCAGUAACGGCGAGUGAAGCGGGAAGAGCUCAAAUUUGAAAUCUUCAAGGUUCUACCUUGACGAAUUGUAGUUUAAAGAAGUGUUUUCUGUUGGAGUUUUGGUAAAAGUUCUUUGGAAUAGGACAUCAUAGAGGGUGAGAAUCCCGUAUUUGACCAUUAUUUCCAGCUUUGUGAUACACUUUCAAAGAGUCGGAUUGUUUGGGAAUGCAGUCCAAAAUGGGUGGUAAAUUUCAUCUAAAGCUAAAUAUUGGCGAGAGACCGAUAGCGAACAAGUACCGUGAGGGAAAGAUGAAAAGAACUUUGAAAGGAGAGUUAAACAGUACGUGAAAUUGUCAAAAGGGAAGCGUUUGACACCAGUGUUGUUUUCUCGAAAAUCAAUUAAAAAAGGCAGGAUUUUGUGUUGUAUUGACUUUAUCAGCUUUCUGCACUCUUUUCUUGUCUUUUUUAAUGCACUUUUCGUUUAACAAGUCAACAUCAAUUUCUUUUGUUGUAAAAGGGUCAUUGGAAGGUGGCUUUCUUUUCGGAGAAAGUGUUUAUAGCCUUUGGCCUCUGCAAUCGGAGAGAUUGAGGUCUGCAGCGUAGAUCCUUCGGGGUUAGAUACAUUUGUGCUAAGUUAUAGCCUUUCAUAGACAACUUGUUGACUAUGAUCAGUCAUGUAGCUUACUCGCUUAUGCUAUUUUACCUACGCUUAGGAUGUUGAGCGCAUGUCUCUCUCU
rnacentral:rRNA from 1 species